CUCAUGGGCCGGGCCUCAGGUAAACUUUUUUGGCCCGGGACCGGGCCCGGCCCGGCCCGGAUAUUAUUAAUAUAUAUAUUUUAAAUUUAUUAUUUCAUUUAUAUUUUACGUUUCCCAUUUCCCCGUCCCCUUCCAGACUUCCCUCCUCCCUUUUUUUCCCUAACCCCUUCCCUCCUCCCUUUUUUUCCCCAAAUCGAUUUUUAACUAUUUGUUGCCAUGUUUUCCACCAAGAAUGCAUUGAUCAUUGGCUUGAAUCACAUAAAACAUGCCCAGUUUGUCGUUAAGAGUUAGAUGUGACUAGUAAAUCAAUAUUAAAUCCCUCAAAUCUCUAAAAUCUCAAGUUUUACAGGCGAUUGGGGAUUUUGAUCUCAAAGAGUUCAUCAUGUUUAAUCGACUGUUCAGGAAACCUAAGCAGGAAACAAAUGCUCUAACCACGUUAGAUAAAUUAAACGAGGUGUAGUAUUUGAUUUUCUUUUGUUUUUUUCACUUUAAUUGGGAAACCAGUUAUUUAUUUUUGUAUUUCUCUUGCUUCGUUCGAGUUCAAAAAUUUGAAAAUUGGUGAUUUCGGUGUGUUGAAUUCAGUAGUCACGAGUCAUGACUCGUUAAUUGAUGACUGGUUAUUGCUUUAGGAAUUUGCUUGAAGGAAUUGAGUUGAUGGCUAACGGGUUUAUGGAAUUUUAUGAUAACUCCUUGUUUCGAAUUCUUAUAUUGUUUGAUUACAUUUCGGAAGUGUUGUUGAUUUGUUGUCAGUCGCUAAUGAGCAAUAACAUUGAAGUUGAAUAAAAAUUUCAUACACAGAAAGGAAGAAAGAUAAUUAAAUUACUUGGCUAAGAUGCACGAAGAGAAAUUUAUCCGCCUAGUAGAUCAGUCCUUCAGAAAAUCAGACACUUGGUGGAGAUGGGGUAGUUAUUUACUUUGGUUGACAACUUGGACGUGAAAUUUUUGCAAUAAAUGUAAAAGUUUUCUGAACCAAAACUGGUUAAUAUAUAUGGAAUUCAUUUGUUAUACAUAAAGAACAACUUAUCUAGUAUUGUUAUUUAGUUGAAGAGAAGGGUUUCAAAGAUAAAAGGAAUGAAUAUCUCUUUUAUCGUGUAUA